GCUAAGGAAGGGGGCGAGAGGUGGACAUUGAAGUAGAGCAAGGCCUGUUACAGAGUGGAAGGCAGGGGCUGGAGCACAACUACCUGGUGGUUGGGGCUUUGAUGAUUUUGAUGAUUUUGAUUCCCCUCUAACACAUAGCCUCCCCUAUUUGAUCUGCUUAAGUCCUGUUUUUUUUUUUUUUUAGGACGGAGUCUUGCUUUGUCACCCAGGCUGGAGUAGCUAGAUGAGAGGCACAAGAAUGAGGCCAAAGAAUACAUUAU
rnacentral:lncRNA from 1 species